AGGCGAGAGAAGCUGAGGGGGCGGUAGCGGCGGCGGCGGCGGCGGCGGCGACUCUCGUGCCUGUGCUCAGCCUCCUCACGCCGCCUUCCUUUCUCCCUCCCUCCCUUCCUCCCCCGAGUGCGGCGGCACCGCCUCCUUCCGCGCCGCGCGGCUUCCUCCAGGGCUCUCGGCGCGGGUGAGCCCUGUUCCCGUAGGCAGCUGGUGCUGGCCCUGUAAUCCACAGGAGGAAGUAGCUGUCUGAACUCGGCCUUGGUACUGGUGGCCACCAUGUCCUUGAAGAUUCAGACAAGCAACGUAACCAACAAGAAUGACCCCAAAUCCAUCAACUCUCGGGUGUUUAUUGGAAACCUGAACACAGCUGUGGUGAAGAAGUCAGAUGUGGAGACCAUCUUCUCCAAGUAUGGCCGUGUGGCUGGCUGCUCCGUGCACAAGGGUUAUGCCUUCGUCCAGUACGCCAAUGAGCGCCAUGCCCGGGCAGCUGUGCUGGGAGAGAAUGGGCGAGUCCUGGCCGGGCAGACACUGGACAUCAACAUGGCUGGAGAGCCCAAGCCCAACAGACCCAAGGGGCUAAAGAGAGCAGCAUCUGCCAUAUACAGUGGCUACAGCUUUGACUAUGAUUACUACCGGGACGACUUCUACGACAGGCUCUUCGACUAUCGGGGUCGCUUGUCGCCGGUGCCAGUGCCCAGGGCGGUCCCCGUGAAGCGACCCCGGGUCACGGUCCCCUUGGUCCGGCGUGUCAAAACCACCAUACCUGUCAAGCUCUUUGCCCGGUCCGCUGCCAUCACCACCGGCUCAGCCAAGAUCAAGUUAAAGAGCAGUGAGCUGCAAACCAUCAAGACAGAGCUGACACAGAUCAAGUCUAACAUUGACGCCCUGCUGGGCCGCUUGGAGCAGAUCGCUGAGGAGCAAAAGGCCAACCCAGAUGGCAAGAAGAAGGGUGACAGUGGCAGCGGCAGCGGUAGUGGCGGCGGCAGCGGCAGUGGUAGCGGCAGCGGCGGCGGUAAUAGCCGGCCACUGGCCCCCCAAGAGGACACGGCUUCUGAGGCAGACACGCCUCAGGGAGAAGCACAGGCUCGAGAUGAUGGCGAUGAGGAAGGGCUGCUGACACACAGCGAGGAAGAGCUGGAGCACAGCCAGGACACAGAUGCGGAGGAUGGGGCCUUGCAGUAAGCAGGCUUGGGAAAAGGGAAUUCCACCCUGGAUAUUCAGCCUAAGAAAAGUAUUCAGCAUUCAUCUCGCCAUUACCUCUUUGAGGAACACCUCAACACUUUUCUAAAAUACUUUUGGAAAGAAUGUGGUUCUUAAUCAGAAACCCUCAAUUGUCUUUGCCUUGUCACUAUAGCAGAGUUCCUUCUAACUGCGCUGUGGUUGGUUUAAAACUAUAGAGGAAGAACAGAGGUUGGUGCAACUGUAUGGGUAACUGAGGAGCAACAGGUCAUUUUCAAUAUAAAUAUAGUCAAUCCAGUUUUAACCAAAUAAUAUCUCAAUGGACAUAAAACUUAAUGGGCCUGGAUCAGUCCUGAGAAUGUUUUAAGAGUGAAGUUAAAAACUGGGGUGUUAUUAGUUUGUCACAAAUCUGUAAAGUUCUGUGUCUUCCCUAAAGGGUCCCACUAAGAAAACACACACACACACAAAUAACAGAAUACUAACUGCACGAGAGGCACUGACCCUUGCUUUAUUCACGCAGUAACAUCCAACAUUUGUUACAGCUUGUUCUCCAAACUCAAAAUGCCUUCAGAAACCUGGGUUCCACCCAGCAGUGCUGUCAAAUAGUUUUCAAACUGUAGUUGAGAACAACAAAAAAAGAUUGGCCAGUAAAACUGAGAAUUGUGUGGACGUAGAUACAAAAAAGGGAGAAAGGGAUCAUAAACAGCAGUCAUGUUCAUCAUGGCAGUGGUGGCAGCUCAGUCAGUGUGGCCCCCCCUUAGGAGGGCCCUACUAGGUUGCAGGAAUGCUCCCUCCACCACUUCAUGGCCAAGGUGCUUUACAGCACUUGGCAUGUUACUUUAAAUUAAGGGUCACAGUGAUUAAAAACACCACAGUCAAGACAUUCAGGACAGACACGACUGCUCCUAGGCCGCUUGGAAUAACAAGUCCGGCAAUAAGAAAGUAAGGAGCAGCAUGUAUGUCCUUAUCCUCAGUUAAGUGCGUGCAAGGCAGACCACAGCACAGACAUAGAUUAUCUUGUCCCCUGUGCUCCAAUCAAGAAAUACCCACAUCCUCUGCAGAACUGGAGGCCCGAGAAGUACCAGACAGAUAGCAUCUCUUGGGUUCUCAUGGUCACAUUCAAAAGCUACUUCAAUAUAGAAAAUAGAAAAGCAUUUGUGGUGGGCCUUUUUCAAACCCAGGACCUAAGUUGAGGGGAGGGGGUUCGUCACCAUUUGGACUCUUCUCAGAAGAGUCCCCUGUACUGCACACACAUCAUGUCCUCCUGAACAGGGUGCCCAAGCAGGGUUGUUCUUGGUGUGCCAGUUACAAGACACACUUAGGAGGUUAUGUUUCUAAGAUUCUCUUAGUGGCCAGUGAGGAAGAAAAUCCUAAGGGUGAGGGUACCUAGCACCUUGAAUUCCCUCAUGUGGUAACAGCUGGAGGACUUGGCAGUGAGGUAGUAGCAACAAUCCUCACAUAAUAAAAAUAAUUCAAAUCUAUGUAAAUCUUCCCUGGAUGUUGAAAACAGGCAGUCCUCCCAGAUUUUAUGCUCAUAUGCUCAGUUCACUCUCUCAUGUGAAGCAGUGUCUACUUUGUGUCUCAAGAGAAGCUGGGAAGGAAAACGGCUGCCCAGCUGAAGUGCCUGCCAAAGUCCAGUUUCUCAGGACAAGCAUACAGCGACUCAUCAGAGCCCAGGCACAAACUGUUUUUGCUGAAUUCACCGAGCACAACUUUUAAAUAAAGAAAACUAAAGGACAAACCAAAUUGAAAGAAUCACUGUUAUAAUAACUUUAAUUUAUCUCGCAUUUUACAGAAGUCUAUGAACGAUUUUAAAAAAGCACCUCCUUACCCCAUCGCGUUUCUCGGACAGUUGUUAAAGUGGGCAAUGAGUAUGUCAACAGCUUGAGCAUCGGCAUCUUGCAAGGAUUUCACAGGCCAACCAACCACACGCCAAAGAGCUUGGCAGCUUUUCUAUCUUGUUUUUAAUACAAUGGUAUAUCCAACUCUGGUGGUAAACCUGUCCAGCCAAAUCUCCACAACACAUUUUGCAAAAUCAGUGGUGAUUAGCAAAUUAGUUAGCUUUGGCACGGAGCUGUGCUCGCUUGCCCGUGACAGCCUGGAAGCCGGUUUUGAUGCUGGCAACUGAGCAUCGAGAGUGACAAGUUUCGCACUGUAAGAAAUAAAGUCGGGUGUCCUUCUGUAGGAUUGUGUCCGGUGAUCGGCACGUGUGACAGGUGACAUAUUCCUCUGCAGGAAGAGCAACACAAAGCAUUAUCGUGGCUGCACUGAGCCAGGGGUUUCUUCCUUGUGCAAUACAUAUUCUACUCUGAACUCCACGAACUUAGGCUGAGACAGCAGGUUAUCUGGGAAUCCAGACCAGGGGAGCUUAGCUAAGCUUAGCUAUUCUGGGGGUAAGAAAACACAGGCUGUCUGCUGUGAUGCUUCAGGUACUAAAAACCAGGUUGAAGUAAAUUCAAAUUGCCCCAGGAGGCAGGAAAGUUUGUCAGCUACCUACUCCUGGUUCUAUCUACAAAAGAGAGGGAACUGACUAACCUUCCUAGGUGGGAACAGACAUGCCAAUUUUAAGGGAUUAGGAAUGUAACACAGGAGUCAAGCCAUGUCUGAAUCACAGACAAGUUUCUCUUGAGUUGGCCUUCAGCACUGGAGCCAACCAACAGCUUCCAUCAGAGCUGGGCCAUCUUAGGAAAUUCAAACCCCUCUCCUGGCACCUCAUCAGUGGUCUAGAGCUACCUCCCAUUCACUAUCAUGUACCCCAAUCUUUUUAAGGCCAACCUUUCCAGGCUCAUUACAAACUAUGAACAAAUGGCUCUCCCCAGACUGCAGUCUGAUGAGAACAUUUCAGGGUAACAUGAUUAAAUUAUACACUUACUGAUAUAUCUUCUCAAAACAUUUUCUAUCUGUUUCUGUUGGAAUCUUCCUUUGAUUACAAGUUGGUUAUUACCAUCUAUAGAACCACUAUGAAAGAAAGAAAAAAUGUCUCCAUUAAAAUUAUUUUUUCUGUAAAGAACCAAAUUCUGGGAUUUCUGUAUGUAAUGAAUUUUUAAGAUAUUCGGUGGUCUAGAAGUGGUGCUGUACUACCUGGCUUCUCCUUUUUAAAAAGUAUUUUUAAUUAAGUAGUUGGUGCCUGAUGACCAACCCAUAUUUCCUAACAUUAAAUCCAAUUUCAACCAAUUAAGUCAGUAACAACGAUCAGAUUUAUGGGAUUUUAAGUACAAAACAAAUAGAUUGCUUAAUUAUAACAGCCCAUUUAUCCAACAAAGGAAAUAAACCUUUACUGAGUGUCUACCAUAUGCAUAACAGAGACAGGAAUGUAAGUAUGAAAUAUGAAAGGGGCUAGAGAAAUAAAAAAUCCUAAGCACCAAAUACUUUGAAUCAGUUAUGGUUAAAAACAUAGCUUAUGAAAACAUUUUAAAAUUGAUUAUGGAGACGGCUGAACAACACUGGAUUGAUUAAAAACCACUGAGCUGUACACUUCAAAUGUGUGAAUUCUAUCUCAAUUAAGCUGUUACCAAAAAAAAAAAAAAAAAAAAGCCACAGGCCACAAAUUGUCCAUGGUACUCAAUGAGAAACUUCUGAGAAAGCUAUUGACAAGUACUUUUAAGAAAGCAAAGCUCUAGGCUAAACAUUAUCAUUUCUUAAAAAUUAUGAGUCACAAGUAAAACAACAAAAUCCAGCCAGAUGGAGUUUUAUAUUUGUUCUGUGUCUCAUCGUAAAACUGACUUUCGUUUAAGAAUCUCUCCUGUGAUUCUCCUUUAACUACAGGGUUUAACAGCAUACUCCAUCAACUGGAACCCUUAGUAUCUGGGCUAUAUUGAUUCCAAUGCUUGUAGGAAAUGUUUUUCAUUCACUGUCUGUCAAAAGAAAUUGAGUUUUCUCAAAAACCCUAUAACAUUAAUCUCACUGACCGUAAGUUCACUGAUCACAACUUCUUGUAAUUUACCCCACCUCUAUAAGACUGCAAAUUAUUCUCAGAAGUAGAAAAAAUAUUGCUAGCUUUUGCUCCUUCAUUAGUUUAUGCAAGUUCAAAAUAAACAAUGGUUGUAACAUUACAUUAAAACACAAUUCUUCCAGAAAAGAGCAAUACGUACCCACCACAAACCAAAAACAAACCCACUGCCGUCAAGCUGAUUCCAACUCGUAACAACCCUAUAGGACAGAGUAGAACUGUCCUAUAGGGUUUUCCAAAGCUGUUAACUCUUUACAGAAGCAGAGUGCCACAUCCUUCUCCCACAAAGUGGAUGCUGGUGGGUUCGAACUGCCAACCUUUUGGCAAGCAGCCACCAGGGCUCCUUCAUCCACCACAGGUCAAGUAAACUGCUGCUUAAACCCACAGCAAGUGCAGCUUGCUGUUACAAUAAACUGUGGGCUUCAGGAGAGCAAGAAGAGAGUAGAACACCGUAAUUCUUUCUGUACUGCCAGUGAGACUCAGGCAUUACACCUUUAAGAGCUCAGGCUCCAGAGACGAGCAAAUCUGAGUCUGUAUCUUGACUGUACCACUAACAAGCUACGUGACCAUCUACAACUUCACUGAACCUGCUUCCAAAUCUACAAGACCAGAGUAUUUCUCCUUCACAGGACUGUUGUAAAGAUUGAGAAAUAUUCACUCGGCACAGAGUCUGGCACACUACAGGUGUUAGUCAUCAUUAUUAUAGCAUAAGUCUAUAUUAAUUUUUAAAGGGACAUUUGGCUUCUUAGCAUUUGCGUGGUCAAACUCAUAGAGAUGGGCUCCAUGGGAUCCUAGCCUCCCUGAAUGCUCAAAACCAUCAACAGAUAAGCCCUGAAGACUGGAGUAGCUACUUAAUUAUCAAUCCUUGUUUCCAUGGUUUCUCCUGUGCCACUCAUCAACUUUACAAGCUGGAUUUCUACAUAGCCUGUUAUCAAUUAAAGGAAAAAAAAACAAAAAAAUUCUGACUUCCUCUAAAAUUUGAAAGCAUCUAACAUUUAUUCUCUAAAAAGACCCAGGAGUUUCAAUUACUGACCGGACGCUCUAAAGGCAGCAAUGGCACGGUACUCGCUUUGGACACUAGCAGGCCUAUUCAGAUGUGCUACUGUUAACUCUGUACCUAGUCCUACACAGCCAAGCUCUCCCACAGAAAUGAUUUCACUCCCUUGUUGGCCUAAAAGCCCUUCUGAUAAUUAGGUCAGUGUUUUCUAAGCAUGUCACAUAUCCUUCAAGUUAAGUUCUUAAGAAAUGUCCAGUAAUACUGUAUAUAGUUUCUUACCUUGUACCCAAUUCAGCCAAUAAAAAUGCAAGGAGAUGUUUGGGCUGACGGUGCAAUCUAAAAAGAAACAAUACACAAACCUUAUCUUUCAUGGAAAUAUGACCAAGCUUCUAAAAAACCAUCCUGUUUACUGUUUUAAUCUCUGACUACUCAGCCAUUAGGUGAAUUUCAGUACACAGUUUUAUUCAGGUUUUAGAACAUAUAUAUACUAUAUGACAUCACUUAUUUACAUUUUAAAGCCCAUAAAACAUUAUGUUAUGUAUGAAUACAUACGUAUGAGUAAAUGUCUACAGACAUAGACAGGAAAGGUAAACACUGACUUUAGGAGAUAAUGUCUUUCUCUGGGAAGAAGACAAAAGAGAUGGGAAGGCAACAGAAACAUGACUAAUUUUAACUAUAAGCCCCCCCACACCUUUUUUUUUUUUUUUUUUUUUAAAGAA